GCUGAAACGAGCACGGAAUCGGACUGUUGAAGGGCAGGAAGACCUCUGUAGCACAUUAGGUUUUUCAUCACCAGGAGGAAGAAACACUCGAACCUCAAUCAGAUCCACUGAUGUCAAAGGUCAGUAAAUUUGCAUCUCAGGUGGUAGAAAUCCCUGUUUGGAGACGAAAUUGUUUUCUUCAAUUUGUGAAAACAUUUGUUCGAAUUCAACCAAGUCUCGGAUGUGUGGCUAUUUGUGAUUCAGCUCAAAGGUGUUCGCAGUUGCCUUAGAAUUCUCACAUGUUUCCAGGUUCUUACUGUGGUGGAUUUUAUGCUACUCGACUAUAAAAGCUUCUGUAGGAUGGUGAAAUCCCGGGGCAGCAAAAGAGGAGCUGUCGUAAACUGUUUUCGCCCGGGUUCGAACCGGAGACCUUCA
rnacentral:lncRNA from 1 species